rnacentral:rRNA from 1 species
UACGUAGGGGGUAAGCGUUGUCCGGAUUUACUGGGCGUAAAGCGCGUGUAGGCGGCUACGCAGGUCCGUUGUGAAAACUGGAGGCUCAACCUCCAGACGUCGACGGAAACCGUGUGGCUAGAGUCCGGAAGAGGAGAGUGGAAUUCCUGGUGUAGCGGUGAAAUGCGCAGAUAUCAGGAAGAACACCAAUGGCGAAGGCAGCUCUCUGGGACGGUACUGACGCUGAGACGCGAAAGCGUGGGGAGCGAACAGG